GACGAACGCUGGCGGCAUGCCUAAUACAUGCAAGUCGUGCGAACGCUUCAAGGAGCUUGCUCUUUGAAGUAGUUAGCGGCGGAUGGGUGAGUAACACGUGGGCAACCUGCCCUACAGAUGGGGGUAACUCCGGGAAACCGGGGCUAAUACCGAAUAAACAGUUCGUCCGCAUGGACGAACUCUGAAAGACGGUUUCGGCUGUCACUGUAGGAUGGGCCCGCGGCGCAUUAGCUAGUUGGUGGGAUAAUAGCUUACCAAGGCAACGAUGCGUAGCCGACCUGAGAGGGUGAUCGGCCACACUGGGACUGAGACACGGCCCAGACUCCUACGGGAGGCAGCAGUAGGGAAUCUUCCACAAUGGACGAAAGUCUGAUGGAGCAAUGCCGCGUGAGUGAAGAAGGUUUUCGGAUCGUAAAGCUCUGUUGUAAGGGAAGAACAAGUACGGGAGUAACUGCCCGUACC
rnacentral:rRNA from 1 species